rnacentral:lncRNA from 1 species
GUACUGUGACUGCAUUUGCUCUUUCGGUUUCACUUUGGUACUUGCUGCACAGAAUGCUGCCACUCCAGCUGGCUAGGUCGCUCUGGACUGGUGACAGAUUUCACUGUGACCCCGCAGUAAAUCAGUUAGGAGAUCUAACGUCAACCUGAAAGGCCAGAUUCCAACAUCAAGUGCAGAAGGAAUCCAGGUUUGACCCUCUGCCGUCUACAGAGAUGUGUGAGCACCCACCCAAGGCUACUUCCAGCCUCCAUGGGAGUUCUUGAAGCUCUUCUUUAUAUGUUUAACUCUGUUCUAGACCAUUCACUUCUGCAAAAUUUGAAAGUCCACACUCUGCAGCUCCAAAGGCCUGAGAUGGUCGGAGUAGAGCACGUGAUGCUCAUUUUGGACACAGAGGAUUAGAGACAUGAAGGGGAAAGAGAGGUGGGGAUUUUUCUCCUCCUGAGCAAGAAUCACUUUCAGAUGACUUUGUUUCUAGUUGCUGGCAGCUGUAGCCAGGAGCCAACCUGACAGCCACUUCUACCCAAACCUUCUCCCCACGAUGCUGCAUAUCAAUACAUGUUCAGUGUUCCAGGGAAAUCCCAGGGAGAGGGAGAGAGAGAGAGAGAGAGAGAGAGAGAGAGAGAGAGAGAGAGAGAGGCUGGAGGAGGGCAGCAAGUGCUGGGAACUGAGCUCAAGUCUUCUGUAACAACACCACGCCCUCUUAAAUUCUGAGCCACGCCUCCAGCCAGCUUCCCCACCUGUGAUCAUUCCAAGUCACAUUUCAUGGAUGGUUGUUUUCUCUGGCCCAGUGUGUUUUGUCUUCAAGAAGACUCGUGGAAGACUGUAAAAAGCACAGGUUUUUCAUAACUUUGAGAUCACCUCACUGGACUGAGGAGAAGUCAUUUGCAUAAGAAACCAGUGACCCGAAAGUUCCUGCUCCGAGGAUCCACACCCAGCUGCUCUCUGUGACCGGACGGGAACCAAGAGAGAGCAAGCCUGUCCCAGACCCCAGACCAAAUCCUACAUGCUCACAUACAUACUUGUGACCACACCCAAAUGGGCAUGGUCAGCGCCACAGCACCCUGUUUCUCAGAAGGUAGCUGAAGGACCAGAGGCAUCAUCUGGAGGCUUGCCAGACGUGCAGAUGACUAGACCCCACCACAGAAUCAGUGCAGUGAUGAGAUUCUUGGGUGACGUUCUACAUGCUGCUGCACGGGAUACUUCAAUCCAGAAGAUACUCCCAACAAGCCUACCAGCCUUUCCAGAAAAUCCUUCAUCCCAAACAAUCAGGUACCUGCCCCUCCCAGCCCUGGACGUUGAACCAACAAACUCUUCCUGGCAAG